rnacentral:rRNA from 1 species
GACGAACGCUGGCGGCGUGCCUAAUACAUGCAAGUCGAACGCAGUGGGGACGGGUGAGUAACACGUGGGUAACCUCCCAUCAGAGGGGAUAACACUUGGAAACAGGUGCUAAACCGAUACUGAUGGAUGUACCCGCGGGGCAUUAGCUAGUUGGUGGGGUAACGGCUCACCAAGGCCACGAUGCAUAGCGGGCCGGAGAGGGUGAUCGGCCAAAAUGGGACUGAGACACGGCACAGACUCCUACGGGAGGCAGCAGUAGGGAAUAUUCGACAAUGGGCGAAAGUCUGACCGAGCAACGCCGGGUGAGUGAAGAAGGUUUUAGGAUCGUAAAACUCUGUUAUUAGGGAAGCGGUAUCUAACCAGAAAGCAACGGCUAACUACGUGCCAGCAGCCGCGGUAAUAC